CACGUAGGGUGCGAGCGUUGUCCGGAAUUAUUGGGCGUAAAGAGCUCGUAGGCGGUCUGUCGCGUCGGCUGUGAAAACCCGGAGCUCAACUCCGGGCCUGCAGUCGAUACGGGCAGACUGGAGUUCGGCAGGGGAGACUGGAAUUCCUGGUGUAGCGGUGAAAUGCGCAGAUAUCAGGAGGAACACCGGUGGCGAAGGCGGGUCUCUGGGCCGAUACUGACGCUGAGGAGCGAAAGCGUGGGGAGCGAACAGG
rnacentral:rRNA from 1 species